AGUGGGUACGGGCAGACUAGAGUGCGGUAGGGGAGAUUGGAAUUCCUGGUGUAGCGGUGGAAUGCGCAGAUAUCAGGAGGAACACCGAUGGCGAAGGCAGAUCUCUGGGCCGUAACUGACGCUGAGGAGCGAAAGGGUGGGGAGCAAACAGGCUUAGAUACCCUGGUAGUCCACCCCGUAAACGUUGGGAACUAGUUGUGGGGUCCAUUCCACGGAUUCCGUGACGCAGCUAACGCAUUAAGUUCCCCGCCUGGGGAGUACGGCCGCAAGGCUAAAACUCAAAGGAAUUGACGGGGACCCGCACAAGCGGCGGAGCAUGCGGAUUAAUUCGAUGCAACGCGAAGAACCUUACCAAGGCUUGACAUAUACGAGAACACCGUGGAAACACGGGACUCUUUGGACACUCGUAAACAGGUGGUGCAUGGUUGUCGUCAGCUCGUGUCGUGAGAUGUUGGGUUAAGUCCCGCAACGAGCGCAACCCUCGUUCUAUGUUGCCAGCACGUAAUGGUGGGAACUCAUGGGAUACUGCCGGGGUCAACUCGGAGGAAGGUGGGGAUGACGUCAAAUCAUCAUGCCCCUUAUGUCUUGGGCUUCACGCAUGCUACAAUGGCCGGUACAAAGGGCUGCAAUACCGUAAGGUGGAGCGAAUCCCAAAAAGCCGGUCCCAGUUCGGAUUGAGGUCUGCAACUCGACCUCAUGAAGUCGGAGUCGCUAGUAAUCGCAGAUCAGCAACGCUGCGGUGAAUACGUUCCCGGGUCUUGUACACACCGCCCGUCAAGUCAUGAAAGUCGGUAACACCUGAAGCCGGUGGCCCAACCCUUGUGGAGGGAGCCGUCGAAGGUGGGAUCGGUAAUUAGGACUAAGUCGUAACAAGGUAACCA
rnacentral:rRNA from 1 species